rnacentral:rRNA from 1 species
AACGAACGCUGGCGGCAGGCCUAACACAUGCAAGUCGAGCGCCCUUUCGGGGGAGCGGCGGACGGGUGCGUAACGCGUGGGAAUAUGCCCUUCUCUACGGAAUAGCCUCGGGAAACUGAGAGUAAUACCGUAUACGCCCUUUGGGGGAAAGAUUUAUCGGGGAAGGAUUAGCCCGCGUUGGAUUAGGUAGUUGGUGGGGUAAUGGCCUACCAAGCCGACGAUCCAUAGCUGGUUUGAGAGGAUGAUCAGACACACUGGGACUGAGACACGGCCCAGACUCCUACGGGAAGCAGCAGUGGGGAAUCUUAGACCAUGGGGGCAACCCUGAUCUAGCCAUGCCGCGUGAGUGAUGAAGGCCUUAGGGUUGUAAAGCUCUUUCAGCUGGGAAGAUAAUGACGGUACCAGCAGAAGAAGCCCCGGCUAACUCCGUG